GCCAAUGAGGAUAUAAUCCACUUUGGAUGAGGUGCAGUGGAGCCAUGUCCCUGUUUAUCAGGGAGAACCUACUUGGCAGAAGCUGCAAUUUCACUGAUAUCAAUGGAUUCUACUGAGGC
rnacentral:snoRNA from 1 species